UCUCUGCUUGCAAGGGGACGAACCCCAGACACUCAGCACUCUGGUGUCAGUCAGGUCCCAUGAUGCCUUGAAGGAGCAGGAAGACACCAAAGAGCUUCCGCUCGCUUACACGCUCACUCGUGCGACUAGCAGCUGGCUACUACCAUCAUCAAAACAGACAUCAAGGAUCCUCAUCCAGCUGGCACGGACCCCAUCCAUGGUUAUUAUGACUUAGAGCAGAUGGUCCUACCCCAACACCACAGCUCCUACUCAACCCCAGCAGCCCACUUGCUCCGCAGCUAUAAAGACAAAAGGCCAGUGUGCUCUGGAGGAGGUAGCCACACUCACUUGAGGAUGAGCGCCAUUGUUUCCUUCCUGUCCUUCCCCUGGAAUGGCAGGGAGCCUGUGAGCAUCUCGAACUGCAGAGCAAAAACAGAGCAGUGCUGAUUCUGUGAGCUCCAGAGGCUGUGGCCUGGGAUCCUACAGUCUCCAUGAUCCACCACCACCACCACCUGCCUCCACCCACCUCCCUGGGGCAUUGCUGCGGUGACUGAGGAGGAGGAUGGCCCUUCAUUCAUGUGAGACUCGAAAGCUCAGCACCACUGUGGGCACUCUUCAGUCCCGUCUAUGUGAGGAGGCAGCGUCCUGGCUGGAGGGCUUUCACCGGUCACAUCAAACCUGAGUGUCUUGAUGUUUUCCCUGUGCCUGCCUGCCUGCCUGCCUCAGUCCCUGAACAAUUUAUCAUCCAGCAUCCUUCCUUUGCACUGUGAACGUCUUGGGAAACACAGGUACAAGGACCAAAACAAUCACCUCAAAGCCAUCAUUCAAAGGCACACUGCGCGCGAUCUCCUACAAUACGAAACUUUCCAGAGUACUAUAAAACUUCUGUACCAUCAUGUUACAUGCGGAUGAGCCGGCAUACAACAAGGGAUCUACUAUUGGGCACUUAAGACGUCUCUAAUUAGGGUUCUACUAACAGUGGACGUUAGACCAGGGCUUCUCAACCUGUGGGUCUCAACCACUUUGUGGGUAAAUAACCCUUUGAAAGGGGUUGUAUAUAUCAAUGUCAUAAAAAGUAGCAAAAUUACAAUUACGAUACAAUGUAGCAAUGAGAUAAUUUUAUGGGGGGGGGGCAAUUAGGGGCAUUAGGAAGACUGAGAGCUACUGUAUCAAACCGAAGCAGAGUACCUGAUAGUUUCCUAAGCUUGAGAAAUGAGGUGGGUGACAUUAAUCUCUUUCUGCUGUGAAAAGCAGCCUGACAAAAGCAACUUGAGGAAAGAGGAGGAGUUCCCAGGCAGGGGAGGUAUGAGGCAGGAGCAUGACACGGCUCACGUUGUAUCCACAGUCAGGAAGCAGAAGGAGAUAAAUGAGGGCACCUAGCUGGAUUCGUCCUCUUUCCCUCUGUCCAUGGAUGGUGUGUCCAAAUUUAUGGAGGGCCACUCCUCCUCAGGCAAACCUCUCUGCAAACGCCCUCACAAACACACCCAGACCGUGUCUCCUAGGUUAUUCCAAACCCAGACCAGUUGGCAGUGAGGACCAAUCUCCACUGACAGGCCAUCAAAGUGAAGGUAUAAACUUGGAGAAAUGAGGGGGUUACGAGUUUUCAUCUUUUUUUUUUAAAUUAUUGUUUGACAGCUUCAUACAUCUACAUAAUGAAUUUUAGUCAUUCCACCUCCCACGUAAAUGUGUCAUGAGAGUGGGACUUAGAUUGUUAGAAAGGAGGGUGUCGGCGGAAGAGGCCUGGCGGGGCAUGGGGUGAGAUACGUGUAGUUAACGAACACUGUCUCCUUUUAAAAUCGAACAAACCCCUGCCGGUUCUGACAUCUGCCGUUCACCCUGUCACGUUGAAGAACUUGCUGCCCCAUCUUGUGUGCCAAUUAAACCGAAGUGCACACGCACGAUGUCAGGCUGCAGGCGGUAAACAAAUGUAUAACUAAUAAAACCAAGAGCAACAGAGUCCAGAUGAGGAUUUAAAAAUAGACAGACGUAAUUAAAGUGACGAGGAGAUGAGCAAGUCAUCUGAUAAAUAGGAUGAGCAUUCAAAAGCUGAUUAUAGAAAUUACCAUCUCAAAAUAGGCUGCCUGGGAGGGGAACUCUCUCUGCCUGGUUCUUCCUUCGAGUCUUCUAUUCAUAGUGCCCACGAAAUCCCACUUCCAAGAAAGAGCGUGCGACCGUGUAGAAUGAGAAAGAUACUUCCCAUCUCUGACCAUUAAAUCCAUCCUGCAGAAAUGGAACCCGUCUCCACAUCCGGGAGUCACUACGCGGAUCAGUGCAGCAGGACGAUGUGCGGGGCCAUCUGUUGAGCGCUUUCUUUCUGGCUUUUGACGGUGGCUGUGACCAGUGAUGUCCACGUUCUCUGCUUGUAUCUGCCCUUUCCCUCCCUUCCUACGUGUGCUUCACUUCCUUGUGGUUAGCUCGGCACAGCAGAAACCAAUACAAGGCGCUUGUAUAGCACUCCAAAUGACUCUGUGAGAUGCCAACCACCUUCACGUGAGCAGCCGCGAUGGUCCCGGGAUGAGGAGCCAGACCUCCCAACAGCAGUCUCAAAGCCCAGGGAGCAAUUCCAGAGUUGGUAGUUUUAAUUGCCAUAGCUUUGGGCAUUGAUGCCACCUCAUAUAAGUCUGAGAGGUCAGGGAGACUGGUAGCUACCCCAUAUGCACAGGAUGCCUGCCACAGAGUUUUGCAUCCCCAAUUCUCCGCGGGGCUUAGGUGGAGUCCUGCCUCAUAGGGAGCUCUGAGGAACCCAAGGUCGGCAUGAGAUUAGCUGUCAGUACUCCGCUCCUACAGCCUUCUGGUACGGGCAUGAGAAAACGCUCAAAGAGGGACCUUCACACAGGAGCCUACAUUCACAUUUACUUGGUAGAUCAGCAUGCUUAAGAAAAAAAAAAGAUUUAUAGCUAAUACCCACUUAUCAGUGAGUACAUAUCAUACAUGUCUUUCUGGGUCUGGGUUACCUCACUCAGGAUGAUAUUUUCUAGUUCCAUACAUCUGCCUGCAAAUAUCAUGGUGUCGUCCAUGUUUUUAAUAGCUGAAUAUCAUUCCAUUGUGUAGAUGUACCACAUUUUAUUUAUCCAUUCUUCAGCUGGGGGACAUCUAGGUUGUUUACAGUUUCUGGCUAUUACGAAUAAAGUCACUAUGAAC